rnacentral:misc_RNA from 1 species
UUUUAGUUGAUUUAUAAAGUUGAAGUGCACAGUAUCACUUGAGUUGCGAUUCGAGUACACGUAAAUUAAUUCAUUAAAAUGCCACAAGCCACAUCAUUGCAACGAGCAUUUACGGUGAUGACAUAUCUACUAUCAUCCAAGGAAAUCAAUCACAUUGAUAAUCAAAAGCAAAUUUGUGAUGCAAUUGAAGGCGCUUCGUAUAAAAUGCAAGGAGUGGAAUCAUUUAUGGAUAAUUAUUCGGUGAAACUAGAGGCGAUUAGCGAAGGUAUAUUCAAUAUCUUAUACGAUGUGCAGAAUAGUGCACCAGAAAUCCCGCAAACAAAGCCUUAUGAAUGUCAGAAUGAAUCCUUCGGAAAACUGUUUUGUGAGGACAACAGAUACGCCAAACAUUUAUUGUUAAUAGGGCGUGGUCAUACGCGUAUGUCACAUGACCUAUAUCAAAAGCUCUUAAACGGAAUUCCUUGCGAUGCAAAAUGCAUCGAUAGUGAUACUGACUUCUUUAUUGGUAUAAAUAAUUUGAUGCAGCUCGUUGGUAACAAAUCAUUUGAUGUGCUGUUUGUUUACUUUGAUGCUGAUGGCAUGGAACAUUUUCGUUAUAUUCCGAAUUUCAAUUUGAUGGUAAAACGUUAAAUGUUACGCGAUCACGCAGUAGUAUGACAGUAGUUUCAUUGAAAGAAGUUAUAAAAAACUUUAAGUUUACAAGUUGGAAAUCUUUUUGCGAAAAAAGGGUGAAUGAUGCCAUCAAAAUCUAUCAAAUUAUAAUAUUUUAUAAAAAAAAGUGUUGAAAACAUUAAAAGACGAAAAAAUUUGAAAAUAUCUAAAAAUGUGCUAUUUGUACGAUAACCACAAUUUUGUGUAUUUUAUUGAAAUAAAUCAAGGUUUUUGCGAAUAA